GAUGAACGCUGGCGGCGUGCUUAACACAUGCAAGUCGAACGGCAAGGCAGAAGCUUGCUUCGGUUCUCGAGUGGCGAACGGGUGAGUAACACGUGGGUGAUCUGCCCUGCACUUCGGGAUAAGCUAGGGUAACUGGGUCUAAUACCGGAUCUCACAAUCCCUAGGAUGGGGAUGUGGACAGCUUUUGCGGUAUGGGAUGAGCUCGCGGCCUAUCAGCUUGUUGGUGGGGUAAUGGCCAACUAAGGCCUCGACGGCUAGCCGGCAUGGGAGGGUGUACCGGUCCAUUGGGACCGAGAUACGGCCCAUACGCAAACGGGAGGCAUCAGUGGGGACUAUUGCACACUGGGCCGAAUGGUGAUGGAGCGACGUCGCGUGGUAAAUGACGGCCUUCGGGUUGUAAACUCCGUUCGCAACUGACGAAUCUUUUGUGCCGGUAGGUUGGAAAGAAGCACCGGCUAACUAGUU
rnacentral:rRNA from 1 species